CCUACGGGUGGCAGCAGUGGGGAAUAUUGCACAAUGGGGGAAACCCUGAUGCAGCGACGCCGCGUGAGUGAAGAAGUAUCUCGGUACGUAAAGCUCUAUCAGCAGGGAAGCAAAUGACGGUACCUGACUAACAACCCCCGGCUAACUACGUGCCAGCAGCCGCGGUAAUACGGAGGGGGCAAGCGUGAUCCGGAGUUACUGGGUGUAAAGGGAGCGUAGACGGCAGCGCAAGUCUGGAGUGAAAUGCCGGGGCCCAACCCCGGAACUGCUUUUGAAACUGUGCAGCUCGAGUGCAGGAGAGGUAAGCGGAAUGCGUAGUGUAGCGGUGAAAUGCGCAGAUAUUAGGAGGAACACCAGUGGCGAAGGCGACUUACUGGACUGUAACUGACGUUGAGGCUCGAAAGCGUGGGGAGCAAACAGGAUUAGAUACCCCAGUAGUC
rnacentral:rRNA from 1 species